rnacentral:rRNA from 1 species
AUACGGAGGGUGCAAGCGUUACUCGGAAUCACUGGGCGUAAAGCGCGCGCAGGCGGCUUGAUAAGUUGGAUGUGAAAGCCUACGGCUCAACCGUAGAACUGCAUCCAAAACUAUUUAGCUAGAGUGUGGGAGAGGAAGAUGGAAUUAGUUGUGUAGGGGUAAAAUCCGUAGAGAUAACUAGGAAUACCAAAAGCGAAGGCAAUCUUCUGGAACACUACUGACGCUGAGGCGCGAAGGCGUGGGGAGCAAACAGGAUUAGAAACCCCGGUAGUCC